AGUCGAGGGGCAGCACGGUAUAGCAAUAUAUGGGUGGCGACCGGCAAACGGGUGCGGAACACGUACACAACCUUCAGGUGAGCGGGGGAUAGCCCAGAGAAAUUUGGAUUAAUACCCCAUACUAUAAUGAUCAGGCAUCUGGUUAUUAUCAAAGGCUUCGGCCGCUUAUUGAUGGGUGUGCGUCUGAUUAGGUAGUUGGCGGGGUAGAGGCCCACCAAGCCUACGAUCAGUAGCUGAUGUGAGAGCAUGAUCAGCCACACGGGCACUGAGACACGGGCCCGACUCCUACGGGAGGCAGCAGUAAGGAAUAUUGGACAAUGGACGCAAGUCUGAUCCAGCCAUGCCGCGUGAAGGAUGAAUGCCCUCUGGGUUGUAAACUUCUUUUACAGGGGAAGAAAGUUAUCUUUUUUAGGAUAUUUGACGGUACCCUAUGAAUAAGCACCGGCUAACUCCGUGCCAGCAGCCGCGGUAAUACGGAGGGUGCAAGCGUUAUCCGGAUUCACUGGGUUUAAAGGGUGCGUAGGCGGGUAUGUAAGUCAGUGGUGAAAUACCGGAGCUUAACUUCGGAACUGCCAUUGAUACUAUAUAUCUUGAAUAUUGUGGAGGUAAGCGGAAUAUGUCAUGUAGCGGUGAAAUGCUUAGAGAUGACAUAGAACACCGAUUGCGAAGGCAGCUUACUACGCAAAUAUUGACGCUGAGGCACGAAAGCGUGGGGAUCAAACAGGAUUAGAUACCCUGGUAGUCCACGCCCUAAACGAUGAUUACUCGACAUUAGCGAUACACAGUUAGUGUCUGAGCGAAAGCAUUAAGUAAUC
rnacentral:rRNA from 1 species